CUGUUAAUCUCCUGUACUUAGCAUGUCAGUAAUUCAUUAAUUACAGCCCAGUAUGCUCAUUGAAAUUGAAGUUAUCGGAAGUAAACAUAAUGUGGGAGGACAAUUGUUUUAGAAUAUUUAGGAACUUUACAAAAAUGCAUAUGCAAAGGAACAUGCAUGAACAAAACAUGUUAAUGUUAAAAAUAUAUGACGUUCCUUGUGGAAGCAAGUGUCAUCUUGGGCCAGAGUAACAAAAUAG
rnacentral:lncRNA from 1 species